AGGGCAUAUGGUGGAUGCCUAGGCACUAAGAGGCGAUGAAGGACGCGACUACCUGCGAAAAGCUGCGGUUAGCUGGAAAUAAGCUUUCACCCGCAGAUGUCCGAAUGGGGUAACCCGGCAGAGGUAAAUGCUCUGUCAUCCGAAAGGAAGCUAACCCAGGGAAGUGAAACAUCUCAGUACCUGGAGGAAAAGAAAGCGAAUGCGAUUCCCGGAGUAGCGGCGAGCGAAAUGGGAUUAGCCCAAACCUGCGUGCAUGCACGUGGGGGUUGUAGGACCACGACAUUUAAAUUAAUCGAUAGUAGAACCAUCUGGAAAGUUGGACCAUAGACGGUGACAGUCCCGUAAACGAAAUCGAGAGAGGCGAUAGUGGUAUCCUGAGUAGCACGGAACAAGAGAAAUUUUGUGUGAAUCUGCCCAGACCACUGGGUAAGGCUAAAUACUCCUUAGUGACCGAUAGUGAACCAGUACCGUGAGGGAAAGGUGAAAAGAACCCUUAAGAAGGGAGUGAAAUAGAUCCUGAAACCAUAUGCUUACAAACGGUGGGAGCGUAAGUGACCACGUGCCUUUUGCUUAAUGAGCCUACGAGUUGCUCGUUACUUGCAAGGGUAAGUCAUUCAGUGACGGACCCGUAGCGAAAGCGAGUUUUAAUAGAGCGAGAGUAUGUAGCGGCAGACGCGAAACCGGGUGAUCUAUCCAUGAUCAGGAUGAAGCGUAGGUAACACUACGUGGAGGUCCGAACCAGUACAGGUUGAAAACUGUUUGGAUGAAUUGUGGAUAGGGGUGAAAGGCCAAUCAAACUCGGUUAUAGCUCGUACUCCCCGAAAUAUAUUUAGGUAUAGCCUCGUAAUAGUUUACCGGAGGUAGGGCACUGAUAGGGUUAGGGCUGUUAAAACGGUACCGACCCCUGACAAACCACGAAUUCCGGCUAAAUGUUUUACGGGAGUCAGGCUGCGGGAGAUAAGUUUCGUAGCCGAGAGGGAAACAACCCAGAUCGACAGCUAAGGUCCCUAAGUAACUGCUAAUAUAGAAAGGAUGUUCAAUUGCACAGACAGCCAGGAUGUUGGCUUAGAAGCAGCCAUUCAUUUAAAGAGUGCGUAAUAGCUCACUGGUCGAGCGAUUGAGCGCCGACAAUACUCGGGAAUAAGCAGUUCACCGAAGCUUCGGGAUUAAUUAUAUUAAUCGGUAGGGGAGCAUUCCAUCUCCAUUGAAGGUGCAUCGUGAGGUGUGCUGGAGGGUAUGGAAGAGCAAAUGUAGGCAUAAGUAACGAUAAAUGGAGUGAGAAUCUCCAUCUCCGUAAACCUAAGGUUUCCAACAGCUCUGAUCGUCAACUGUGGGUUAGUCGGCCCCUAAGGUGAGGCCGAGAGGCGUAGCCGAUGGGAAUUUGGCAAACUUUAAAUAUUCCAAAACCACCUAGCAAUAAAAGUGACGCAAGACUAAAUUCUGUAUGUGAUAAUGGUUUCGAUCAUGCAGGACGAAAAUUGCCGAGAAAUAGCGAGCUAGUGUGACCGUACCGGAAACCGACACAGGUAGGUGGGUUGAGUAUACUCAGGAGCGCGAGUGAGUCGCGGUUAAGGAACUCGGCAAAAUAGCUCCGUAACUUCGGGAGAAGGAGCGCCAUCAGUGAUGGUGGCCGCAGUGAAAAGGCCCAGGCGACUGUUUAGCAAAAACACAGCUCAAUGCUAACUCGUAAAGAGGAUGUAUAUUGAGUGACACCUGCCCGGUGCUGGAAGGUUAAAAGGAGGGGUUAGCUUAGGCGAAGCUCCGAAUUGAAGCCCCAGUAAACGGCGGCCGUAACUAUAACGGUCCUAAGGUAGCGAAAUUCCUUGUCGGGUAAGUUCCGACCUGCACGAAUGGUGUAACGAUCUGGGCACUGUCUCGACCGCGAGCUCGGUGAAAUUGUGGUACCGGUGAAGACGCCGGUUACCCGCACUAGGACGGAAAGACCCCGUGAACCUUUACUAUAGUUUACUAUUGGGUUCGGCUGUAAUAUGCGUAGGAUAGGUGGGAGGCUUUGAAGCGGACGUUGUGGCGUUCGUGGAGCCAUCGGUGAAAUACCACCCUUAUUACAGUUGGAUUCUAACCCGGCGCUGUGGAAGCGUGGGGACAGUGGUAGAUGGGUAGUUUGACUGGGGCGGUCGCCUCCCAAAUGGUAACGGAGGCUUACAAAGGUUCUCUCAGCAUGGUCGGUAAUCAUGCGUAGAGUAUAAAAGUACAAGAGAGCUUGACUGCGAGACUUACUAGUCGAGCAGGUGCGAAAGCAGGUUUUAGUGAUCCGGCGGCUCCCCGUGGACGGGCCGUCGCUCAAAGGAUAAAAGGUACUCCGGGGAUAACAGGCUGAUCUUGCCCAAGAGUUCACAUCGACGGCAAGGUUUGGCACCUCGAUGUCGGCUCAUCGCAUCCUGGGGCUGGAGAAGGUCCCAAGGGUUUGGCUGUUCGCCAAUUAAAGCGGUACGCGAGCUGGGUUCAGAACGUCGUGAGACAGUUCGGUCCCUAUCCAGUGCGGGCGUUAGAAAUUUGAGGGGACCCGAUCUUAGUACGAGAGGACCGGAUUGCCCAUACCUACAGUGUAUCUGUUGUCACACCAGUGGCAUUGCAGAGUAGCUACGUAUGGAAAGGAUAAGUGCUGAAAGCAUCUCAAGCACGAAACCUACCCCAAGAUGAGAUUUCUUUAAGAUUCCAAGUAGAUGACUUGGUCGAUAGGCUUCAGAUGUAAGCAUGGUAACAUGUUCAGUCGAGAAGUACUAAUAAAUCUUUAGCUUUUCGU
rnacentral:rRNA from 1 species